rnacentral:rRNA from 1 species
GAUGAACGCUGGCGGCGUGCUUAACACAUGCAAGUCGAACGGAAAGGCUCCUGCUUGCAGGGGUACUCGAGUGGCGAACGGGUGAGUAACACGUGGGUGAUCUGCCCUGCACUUCGGGAUAAGCCUGGGAAACUGGGUCUAAUACCGGAUAGGACGAUGGUUUGGAUGCCAUUGUGGAAAGUUUUUCGGUGUGGGAUGAGCUCGCGGCCUAUCAGCUUGUUGGUGGGGUAAUGGCCUACCAAGGCGUCGACGGGUAGCCGGCCUGAGAGGGUGUACGGCCACAUGGGGAUGGAGUUAGGGCCAGGCUUCUUCCGGGGGGAAGCAGGGGGGAUUAUGGCACAAGGGGGGAAGGCUUGAGGAAGCGACGCGGGUUGGGGAUGACGGCCUUCGGGUUGUAAACUCCUUUCGCUAGGGACGAAGCGCAAGUGACGGUACCUGGAGAAGAAGCACCGGCUAACUACGUG